CCUGUACCCAGAGAUCUGCAGGACUUACUCUCAGUGUGCCUGUACUUUCUUAUUUCACUGAUAAACUCGGAUGUCCUGGUUUUUUCAAUAAUAAGGUGUCCAAUCAGAACCAGUGUCUAACUGGAGUUGCUUUGUCUGAAAUACUCAGGCUAACAAAGGAGGAACCAUUACAGCCUAUUACACGUGAAAGGAACUUUCCCUAGACUCAAAGAAGCAGUUCUGUAUUAACUUCUUCAGGAGCUUAAAAAGACCUUCCUCUUGCUUGAGAGAAAAGGGUUCCCAGACUUCUCAUGAUCUUGGAAAUUCACCUUUGAAUGUAAAGUGCACUUGAUGAAGUUGGAUGACUACUUCCCAUCAAGAUAAUGAGUGUAUGCCCACACUCUACAAAGUUCUCCAGCUGGUUAGAAUAGCCUUCCGUCCAUUGUAGAUAGCUGAAUGAACAAUACAGACUAAUUCAUUUUUUCAUUGCUUGGUCACCUGGCAAAGAAGGAUGAAGAAAUGCUGCCAUUAGUUUCUUACCAACAAGUUAAAGGGUUGAUUGUUCUGAUCAUAUUCAAAUGAAAGGAGUAAAAAAACCCCAGCUAUUUUAGAACCUUGCAGUCAGAACUGACGCUAAUAAUGGGGAAAAAAAAGUGGAAAAGAUGUAUGGUUUCUGAAUUUGGUUCAUCCAUUUCCAGCUGCAAGCUCCCUGUAGGCUUUCUACAGGAACAUGCAUGUAUCUCAAAUGGCGUGUUAAAACUGACGUCAUGAAAAAAAUGAAGAGAUUGAUAUUCAGUGGUCAGGAUCAUAACUGAGCCUUCAAUUCUGCUUUCCUUUUAUAUAUGUUGUUACUGCAUAAAUCUUGUUCUAUUUCUUUUUAUUAGUGUAAUGCUUUCCACAUUUCCAUUUCCAUUAA